rnacentral:rRNA from 1 species
CGUGUAGGCGGUUUGGUAAGUCUGAUGUGAAAGCCCUGGGCUCAACCCGGGAAGUGCAUUGGAAACUGUCAGACUUGAAUACGGGAGAGGGUAGUGGAAUUCCUGGUGUAGGAGUGAAAUCCGUAGAUAUCAGGAGGAACACCGGUGGCGAAGGCGGCUGCCUGGACCGAUAUUGACGCUGAGACGCGAAAGCGUGGGUAGCAAACAGGAUUAGAUACCCUGGUAGUCCACGCCGUAAACGAUGAGUACUAGGUGUUGCGGGUAUUGACCCCUGCAGUGCCGCAGCUAACGCAUUAAGUACUCCGCCUGGGAAGUACGGUCGCAAGAACUAAA